AAGUCGUAACAAGGUUUCCGUAGGUGAACCUGCGGAAGGAUCAUUACCGAAUUGUCGACACGAGCUGUUGCUGGUCCUCAAAUGGGGGCAUGUGCACGCUCUGUUUACACAUCCACUCACACCUGUGCACCCCUGUAGUUCUGUGGUUUGGGAGGCCCCGCCUUCCUUCCGUAGUCCUACCUCUUUACACACACACACAUUGAUGAAGUCUUGUGGAAUGUAUGCAGCGUUUAACGCAAUACAAUACAACUUUCAGCAACGGAUCUCUUGGCUCUCGCAUCGAUGAAGAACGCAGCGAAAUGCGAUAAGUAAUGUGAAUUGCAGAAUUCAGUGAAUCAUCGAAUCUUUGAACGCACCUUGCGCCCUUUGGCUAUUCUGAAGGGCAUGCCUGUUUGAGUAUCAUGAACACCUCAACUCUCACGGUUUUCUGUGAUGAGCUUGGACUGUGGGGGUUUGUUGGCCUUUGGUCAACUCCUCUCAAAUGAAUCAGCUUGCCGGAGUUUGGUGGCAUCACAGGUGUGAUAACUAUCUACGCUUGUUGUCGUCGACCAGGUACCCUCCGAUUUCGGGGGUCCUCUGCGGCUUAUAAAUGUCUCUCCUCAGUGAAGACAACCAUUUGAAGUUCGAUCUCAAAUCAGGUAGGACUACCCGCUGAACUUAAGCAUACCAAUAAGCGGAGGAAAAGAAACUAACAAGGAUUCCCCUAGUAACUGCGAGUGAAGCGGGAAGAGCUCAAAUUUAAAAUCUGGCGUGCCUCUGGCCGUCCGAGUUGUAGUCUGGAGAAGCGUUUUCCGUGUUGGACCGUGUACAAGUCUCUUGGAACAGGGCGUCAUAGAGGGUGAGAAUCCCGUCUUUGACACGGACUACCAAUGCUUUGUGAUGCGCUCUCAAAGAGUCGAGUUGUUUGGGAAUGCAGCUCAAAAUGGGUGGUAAAUUCCAUCUAAAGCUAAAUAUAGGCGAGAGACCGAUAGCGAACAAGUACCGUGAGGGAAAGAUGAAAAGCACUUUGGAAAGAGAGUUAAACAGUACGUGAAAUUGCUGAAAGGGAAACGCUUGAAGUCAGUCACGUCUGCCAGGACUCAGCCUCGCUUCUGCUUGGUGUACUUUCUGGUUUGAUGGGCCAACAUCAAUUUUGACCGUUGGAGAAAGGCCUUGGGAAUGUGGCACCUUCGGGUGUGUUAUAGCCCUUUGCUGUAUACAACGGUUGGGAUUGAGGACUGCAGCACGCCUUCAUGGCCGGGGUUCGCCCACGUACGUGCUUAGGAUGUUGGCAUAAUGGCUUUAAGCGACC
rnacentral:rRNA from 1 species